AUAAUAAGAUGUGAUAAAGUUCAAAACGAUGUUCAUAUUCGUAUUAAUUCAAACUUGUCUUGUAACGUUGGGUUCAAUAAAAUUCAAUCACCAAAUUUUCAUUAGGGUUACAAUGGUUUUAAUUCCAUUCAUUCAUAGUUUCAAAAAAUUUUUUAAUGCACAGCAACCAUUAAGGAUAUAAAAAGAUUCGCUCAAUUUUGUUGGAACUAUCCAGGUCAUGAUGCUAUUAGUGUGAUGAAUGCUCCAGCAAGGCAUGGACCAGAUCAAUAUGAAAAUGCAUUAAAAGGAGGGCAAGUGUAUGGUUAAAAUAUGAAAAAUCUUUUGAAAUAAAUUAUAUUUUGGUCAUUAUUUAAAUAAAUUAGGAAAUUACAUCACACGUUGUGUUUCACACGUUAUUCGGUUGAUGGUAUAUGUCAUCUGUUGGUGCAGGAAAUAUGGUGUUUAUAGGUGGUAUAAUGAUUAAAGAAUAUUAUCUUGAUAUUUUACAAAACUGUUUAUUGGAAAGCCUUAGAAAUGUUGGGAUUGUUAGAACAUUUAUGUUCCAACAAGAUUGGAUCCGCAGAAAUUGAUUGCUUGUGGCUGUUAUAAUAUGUUUCCCAUCAAUUACAGAACCCUAGUCACCAGGACUCAAUCCCAUCGAAUAUAGGAUGAAACAAAUUUAAGAACACCCCAUGAUAUAUUGAAAUGAGUUGAAAACGAGCAUAAGACAUGAAUGGAGCAAAACAGAUCCUGCUAUAAGAGAGACUUUUUAUAAAUAAAACUUUUUUUCGAUAUUUAUAUAUUUCAAAAACACAAUUUAUACAAGUUUUUCAUCGCCUUGGAGCUGUAUCUUCUUGCAUUUUUUCAUAAAAAUUAUAAAAUUGAAUGUUUACUGAGACUUUGUUGAAGUAGUGCAUCUGCUGGAUACAUGCACGAAUAAAGAAAGAUUUAAAAAACUGCCAUUUCUUCUUCUAUUUGUGCCAUCUCCGCUAUCGAAGGUUAACGAUCACGUCCGCAAAGGUCUCUCGAUCUACAAAUCAGCAAGAUGUAUAGAAGGCUGUAGCAUUAAAUUAUCGUAUUUCGAGUCAGUUCUGAAAUUUUCCAUUCUCUCUUUCUCACUCCGUAUACAUUAUAUAACUUUAAAUUUUUAUUAAUAUGUUUGAAUUCAGAUCAUGACAUCAGCUCGAAGUUUAAUUCUACUCAUUCUUGGUUUAUUGAAAACAACCGGAAAUGUGUUGCUACAAUAGG